rnacentral:rRNA from 1 species
GUCUAUUUGAAGAUAUAAAAAGUCUGACCUGCCCACUGAUAAAUAAUUUUUAAUGGCCGCAGUAUUUUGACUGUGCAAAGGUAGCAUAAUCGUUAGUUUUUUAAUUGAAAUCUUGUAUGAAUGGUUUGACAAAAAAAAAUCUGUCUUUAUGAUUAUUUAUUGAAUUUAACUUUUAAGUGAAAAGGCUUAAAUAAAUUAAAAAGACGAUAAGACCCUAUAAAACUUAAUAUUAAUUUUUUAUUUUAAUAAAAUUUUUAGUAAUAUAAAUAUUUAGUAAUUAGUUUUAUUUUAUUGGGGUGAUAAUGGUAAAAUGAUUAUUAACUGUUAAUUGUAUUUAUAACAAAUAUAAGUGAAUAAAAUAAGUAUAUUGAUUUAUAAAUGGUCCUAUAUAAAGAUUAAAAGUUUAAGUUACUUUAGGGAUAACAGCGUCAUUUUUUUUGAGAGUUCUUAUCGAAAAAAAAGUUUGCGACCUCGAUGUUGAAUUAAAAUAUCUGUAUAAUUGUAGCAGUUAUAUAAGAAGGUCUGUUCGACCUUUAAAUUUUUACAUGAUUUGAGUUCAAACCGGUGUAAG